CUGCCCGUGCCAGUACAGUCUGUUCUUGAAGAAUGUUGGGUUCUCACACAUGGUUUGGAAAGAAAAACAAACAUUAUCUUUUAUAUAUAUCUAUGUCUAGAUAUAGAUCUAUAUCUAGACAUCUUGUCUUCUGAUCUUUUAUUGGUCAUUUAAACUUUUCUGAUGGGUUGUUCGAGUCCUCCUUGGCACUAAUCCAGUAUUGAUUGGAUUGGUCAGUGGCCUUGAUUGUUCAGUGUUUACCUGCAACUGGAAAACCAGAAAUGGUGGUCUGAAAGACAACUGUUUGCUAUACUGGCAGCUUGUUCCCCAAAAGUAUUCCUGAGAAGUUCAUGUUUGCAUCUCCAGGAUGUGCCCUGACGUGGAAAGAUAAUGGACUGGAGAAAACCAGAUCCCCAUUUCUUUAUCAGAAUGAGAUUUUUCUGUUUUCUUCAAUAAUGAAGCAUAGAUGACCAUUUCAGUUUAGGAACCACCAAAAAUUCCAGCUCCUUCCAGAAGACAUGCUGCUGAAUCCAGCAUUUCUCAAAGUUGUAGUCUUGGAAGAUAAAAUAAGAGUAACUGAUGGAAGAGACACAGGAACAUUCAUUUGAUGUGCCUACUACAUUAUUACUGGCUGGGCAGCAGGAGAGGGCCCCUGGUUGACUUGUCCUGGAUGCUGCUCUCUGGGACAGCUGUACCUUCUGGGAGAUUUCUCUUGGACUAUCUAAGCAUCUGGAGCAGAAGAUGGAAUGGUCAGUAUGGAGCAUGAGGAAGGCAGCUGGAGGGAGUCUGUAGUGUUUAGAUGCUGGAAGUUUUCUUAGAGGUUUAGGGAACAAACGCUCCUCUUAAUGGUGGUGGGAAGAAAACCUUCCCAGUGGACCCCAUGCAGACUGCCCAGUGUUUGUUGCAACCUAGAGCACCAGAAGAAAGCUGCUGACCUGAGGAAAGGCUGGUGAAAAUCAUCUCCAUGCCAAAGGGCAGCUCUGUUUUCUAACCUUGUAUUGUAAUCUUUCAUCUGCUGGAUUUGACUCAUUUUGAUGUCAAAAUUACUGCUUUUUGGGCUGCGUUUUCAGAAAUUUUGGCUGCAGAGAUCUAAAUCUUUGCUAUUUUUGGCACUCUCCCUGGAAGUGCAGACAGAUGCACCUCAAAGUAGUGGCUGGGUUGCAAGCCUUUCAGAGUCAGCAAGGCCUGGAUAUGUCCCACUGAGCAUUCAGCAUAAGGCUGAAAUAAUUAAAGGAAGGAGUAACCUUUCCUAACUGCAUUUCACUGAGCAAAUGUAUGUUUCAGUGGAAACUUCAUCCCGAGGAAUGCAUUACCAGGCACACAAUAAGUUGGCUGAAGGACCAGCAAAGGGCAGACCUGUUGCUCCUGGUGAUCACCCCAACAUCUUGUGAGAUGCUAGAUGCCAGGAAUUUAUCUCCAAGAGGGCAGAAAUUAAAAUGCCUUCCUGAAACUGUACAAGGUUGUCUCCGGUGUAAAAGGUGGUUGGUGACAAGGUUUUUCUUAUUCUCAAUUGCCAUUACACUAGUGCAACAAGAUAAACCCACUGUUAGGAAUACUGGAUCCAGGACACCAGCUCUCAUCCAGCAUUCUGUGUUUCUGCAAUAUAGAUCAGGUAUCUCUAAUAAAGGACCUUUCUGUUAAUGCUAGCAAACAGUGCAGUGUUCUCUUUUACAGCAGACCCAAGGCUGUUUAAAAUCAAGGAGAAACGUUUCAGGUAUUUACUAUUUGUAGUGUCUCCACUUCCUUUGUUUGAAAGUUCUUGUUGAGGAAAAUGAGUAAAGGGGUAAAGUAUGGAGCUCUAAGUGUGAGGAUAGGACUCCUGGGUUCCUCCCAGCCCUUUUGGGAAGCUGAGUUUCCUAUAUACUGCCUAAAGGAAAGAAAAUAGACUGGUAUCAGAGUCUCUUGGAAAAAUUCUUGCUUUGACUAAUAGGAGAACUUGCUAGAGGGUGGCCACUGUGUAAGAGCAGGCUGCAGCUUGUCUUAUCUUUUGGAAGAGUGUUUUUUAAGAAAAAAACACAACCUAUUUUUUAAAAAGAAAAAUUCUCUAUCUUCUGCUUACUUACUUAUUCCAUAAACAGCAUUUACAUGUAUGUCUCUUCAUAGUCAAUAUCUAUAUAUUUCUGACAGUUGCAUAUUUAGUGUAUACAUUGGAUUGCUAUUAAGAGGUUUCUGCCAUUAGUCAUGAUUGCUCUUUUGUUUUUAAAACUGAAGAAUAAAAAUGAAAUUGAUUUCUGCUCAACAUUAACCAAUAGACUAUCAGUUUAGUCACAAUAAGUAGGGGUUUUUAGUGAAAAAUUUUAGAUUUUGCAGACCUGUGACCUCAGCAAAGAAAAGUUAGUGUCUGGUGAACAAGAACAUCAUUUACAACAGUCGAAACCAGCCUGGAGCCCAUGAAAGCACUGCAGGGGAUCCCAGCAGACAUGCAUGGAUAAUAAUAGCAAGAGCCUUUUAAACAUGUACAUUUUCAAAGUUAUGUGAGCUUUUAGCCUCCUGACAAAUGUGGUGAAAAUCAGUGUGUUGACAGUCAUGCAAUGCUGUAAAAAUGCAGAAGAUUAGGAACAUCUGAUCAAAUGAUAUAAGAACCAUACAAUUAAAAUGUCUAUAAUUCCAAGUUCCAAGAGAAUGGCAAUUUUUAAGCCUCUUUAUAUCAAGAGACUGUAAAUACCUAGAGGAGUGCAGUGGGAAUAGUGUGAGUUCAGAGAACACUGCAGUGCUUGAGUAGAUGAAUCUACGGGUAUGAGUCUGUAAGUGAAGUGAGACAAUGUAAAUGGAUUUUUGUCCUUUUCCCCCCACGUUUCUUUUUUUGUCCCUGCAUUACGUUCCUAUAUAUUGUAGUACAGUGCUCAAAUAUACAGGUUUUAUCCACAAAGUUGAGAUAGAGGCUUAUAUUAUCAAGGGUUUUGAUGCAUCUAUCACAAUUAUAAAGACUUACAAAUUUUAUAAGUCUUUAUAAACUUUAUAGACUUUAUUAUAAAUAGUCCAUCAGUGACCUGUUGUCCUGGUUUCACCCCAGCCAGCAGCCAAUCCCCACAUAGCAGCUCUAUCCCAGCAGUGAGAUCAGGGAGGAAAUUGGAAGGCUAAAAGUGAGAAAAUUCAUGGCUUAAUAGUUUAAUAGGAAAAGCAAAAACUACACACAAGCAAAGCAAAACAAGGAAUUAUUAAUUCAGUGCUUCACAUGGGCAAGGAGGGGUUCAGCCAUCCCCAGGAGGGCAGGGUCCCAUUGUGUCUAAUGGUGACUUGGGAAGACAAAGGCCAUCAGUACAAAUGUCCUCCCUUCUUCCUUUUUUGCCCCAUUUUAAACACUGAGCAUGAUGUCACAUGGUCUGGAAUAGCCCUUGGGUAUGUCAGUUGGGAUCACCUGUCCCAGCUCCUCCCAGCCUCCCAAACAGUCCCAGAUGCCUCACCAGUGUGGCAGUACAAAAAGGAGAAAAGGCUUUGGCUCUGUGCAAGCCCUGCUCAGCAAUAACAAAAACAUCUCUCUGUUGUCAACUCUGUGUUCAGCACGAAUCCAACACAGAGCCCCAUGCCAGCCACUGUGAAGAAAAGUACCUGAACCAAAACCAGAACACCUGUGUAUAAAGAAAAAUAAAUUUAAAAUAUUACCACUGUUGUGGAAUGAAAGAGUUACUGA